rnacentral:rRNA from 1 species
GAAUGGUAGGACGCUAAAAAGCUCACCUGUGCUAGUAUGAGUACUAUACACAAGCUCAUGUGAAAUGGCGUCAUUAUAGAUCCCCUUUAUAGAAUCUGAGAUUACACUACUUACUUGUGUUAACUCGUGGCCUCUUAUAGAGGCUGAUACAUGAUGAAAUGGGCCGCGCUUCCCGGGCUGGGAUAUGUAUAAAUAAAAAACCAAUGCCCUCGCUGCUCUAUGGAGAAUCAUAGUAUCUUGACGAAUCUCCUGGUCUUGUGCCCGUGAGGGUUCAUUCGAAUUUCUGCCCUACCGACUUUCCAUGGUAGGAUAGAGGCAUACCGUGGUUUUAAGGGUUAACGGGGAAUCAGGGAACAAUGCCUGAAAGCGAGCCUGAGAAACUGAUACCACAUCCAAGGAUGGCAGGAAGGGCGCAAGUUACCCAAUCCUGACACACGGAGGUAGUGACGAUAAAUAACUAUACGGGGCCUAUUAGGCCUCGUCAAUUGGAAGGACAACAAUUUAUACACCGUAACGAGCAACACUUAGAGCGCAUGUCUGGUGCCACCGGCCGCGGCAAUUCCAGCUCUGAUAGUAUAUAUUAACGAUGUUGCAGUUGAUAAGCUCAAAAAGCUCAGC